rnacentral:rRNA from 1 species
UACGUAGGGUGCAAGCGUUAUCCGGAAUCAUUGGGUUUAAAGGGUCCGUAGGCGGUUUUGUAAGUCAGUGGUGAAAUCCGGCAGCUCAACUGUCGCACUGCCAUUGAUACUGCAGGACUUGAAUUAUUGUGAAGUAACUAGAAUAUGUAGUGUAGCGGUGAAAUGCUUAGAUAUUACAUGGAAUACCCAUUGCGAAGGCAGGUUACUAACAAUACAUUGACGCUGAUGGACGAAAGCAUGGGGAGCAAACAGG